rnacentral:rRNA from 1 species
UACGAAGGGGGCUAGCGUUGCUCGGAAUUACUGGGCGUAAAGCGCACGUAGGCGGCUUUCUAAGUCGGGGGUGAAAUCCUGGAGCUCAACUCCAGAACUGCCUUCGAUACUGGAGAGCUCGAGUCCGGGAGAGGUGAGUGGAACUGCGAGUGUAGAGGUGAAAUUCGUAGAUAUUCGCAAGAACACCAGUGGCGAAGGCGGCUCACUGGCCCGGUACUGACGCUGAGGUGCGAAAGCGUGGGGAGCAACAGGAUUAAGAAACCCGUGUACGU